UACGUAGGGUGCGAGCGUUGUCCGGAAUUAUUGGGCGUAAAGGGCUCGUAGGCGGUCUGUUGCGUCAGGAGUGAAAACUCGGGGCUUAACCCCGAGCCUGCUUCUGAUACGGGCAGACUAGAGGUAUGCAGGGGAGAAUGGAAUUCCCGGUGUAGCGGUGAAAUGCGCAGAUAUCGGGAGGAACACCGGUGGCGAAGGCGGUUCUCUGGGCCUUACCUGACGCUGAGGAGCGAAAGCGUGGGGAGCGAACAGG
rnacentral:rRNA from 1 species